AACGCGAAGAACCUUACCUGGGCUUGAACUACUCGUGGUAAGCCGGUGGAAACAUUGGCUGACCCGCAAGGGAGCGAGCAGAGGUGCUGCAUGGUUGUCGUCAGCUCGUGUCGUGAGAUGUUGGGUUAAGUCCCGCAACGAGCGCAACCCCUACUCGAUGUUGCUAAUCCCGCAAGGGAUGCACUCUUCGAGAACUGCCUUCGAUAAGAAGGAGGAAGGUGGGGACGACGUCAAAUCCUCAUGGCCCUUAUGUCCAGGGCUACACACGUGCUACAAUGGCCGGUACAACGGGAAGCAAUACCGUAAGGUGGAGCCAAACCCUGAAAGCCGGCCCCAGUUCAGAUUGUGGGCUGCAACUCGCCCACAUGAAGGCGGAAUCGCUAGUAAUCGCGAAUCAGCAGGUCGCGGUGAAUACGUUCCCGGGCCUUGUA
rnacentral:rRNA from 1 species